rnacentral:rRNA from 1 species
GACGAACGCUGGUGGCGUGCUUAACACAUGCAAGUCGAACGGGAUUUAGUAAACAGAAGCCUCGGUGGAAGAUUACUAAUGAGAGUGGCGAACGGGUGAGUAACGCGUGAGCAACCUGCCUAUGACAGUGGGAUAGCCUCGGGAAACCGGGAUUAAUACCGCAUAAAAUCGUAGAAACACAUGUUUUAACGGUCAAAGAUUUAUCGGUCAUAGAUGGGCUCGCGUCUGAUUAGCUAGUUGGUGAGAUAACAGCCCACCAAGGCGACGAUCAGUAGCCGGUCUGAGAGGAUGAACGGCCACAUUGGAACUGAGACACGGUCCAAACUCCUACGGGAGGCAGCAGUGGGGAAUAUUGCACAAUGGGGGAAACCCUGAUGCAGCGACGCCGCGUGAACGAAGAAGGUAUUCGUAUCGUAAAGUUCUGUCCUAGGGGAAGAUAAUGACAGUACCAUAGAAGAAAGCUCCGGCUAAAUACGUGC